UGGGGAAUUUUGCACAAUGGGGGAAACCCUGAUGCAGCGACGCCGCGUGAUUUAGAAGGCCUUCGUGUUGUAAAAUCUUUUCUAUGGGAAGAAAAUGACAGUACCAUAGGAAUAAGGACCGGCUAAUUACGUGCCAGCAGCCGCGGUAAUACGUAAGGUCCGAGCGUUGUCCGGAAUCAUUGGGCGUAAAGGGUACGUAGGCGGGUAAGCAAGUUAGAAGUGAAAUCCUAUAGCUCAACUAUAGGAAGCUUUUAAAACUGCUCAUCUUGAGGUAUGGAAGGGAAAGUGGCAUUCCUAGUGUAGCGGUGAAAUGCGCAGAUAUUAGGAGGAAUACCGGUGGCGAAGGCGACGUUCUGGCCAUAACCUGACGCUGAGGUACGAAAGCGUGGUUAGCAAACAGG
rnacentral:rRNA from 1 species